CCCUUAGAUGUUCUGGGCUGCACGCGCGCUACACUGUCGGAUUCAGCGAGUCAUAUCCUUAACCGAAAGGUUUGGGUAAUCUUUUGAAAGUCCGACGUGAUGGGGAUUGAUCAUUGCAAUUAUUGAUCAUGAACGAGGAAUUCCUAGUAAGCGCGAGUCAUCAGCUCGCGUUGAUUACGUCCCUGCCCUUUGUACACACCGCCCGUCGCCACUACCGAUUGAAUGGUUUAGUGAGAUCUUCGGAUUGGCGCCUACGCGGCUUCUCUGAGGCCACGCUGGAUGCCGAAAAGUUGCUCAAACUGUAUCAUUUAGAGGAAGUAAAAGUCGUAACA
rnacentral:rRNA from 1 species